GUUGUUAGCUCAGUUGGUUAGAGUGUGGUGCUGAUAACACGAAGGUAGCAGGUUUGAUCCCUGUAGGUAGGGGACAGCUACA